rnacentral:rRNA from 1 species
CCUACGGGAGGCAGCAGUAGGGAAUAUUGCUCAAUGGGCGAAAGCCUGAUGGAGCAACGCCGCGUGGGUGAAGAAGGUCUUCGGAUCGUAAAACCCUGUUGUUAGAGACGAAAGUGCGUGAGAGUAACUGUUCACGUUUCGACGGUAUCUAACCAGAAAGCCACGGCUAACUACGUGCCAGCAGCCGCGGUAAUACGUAGGUGGCAAGCGUUAUCCGGAUUUAUUGGGCGUAAAGGGGACGCAGGCGGUCUUUUAAGUCGGAUGUGAAAGCCUUGGGCUUAACCGGAGUAGUGCAUUGGAGACGGGGAGACUUGAGUGCGUAAGAGGAGAGUGGAACUCCAAGUGUAGCAGUGAAAUGCGUAGAUAUAUGGAAGAACACCAGUGGCGAAGGCAGCUCUCUGGUCUGUAACUGACGCUGAGGUUCGAAAGCGUGGGUAGCAAACAGGAUUAGAUACCCUUGUAGUC